rnacentral:ncRNA from 1 species
GCAGAGUAGACUGUCAGGCGUUAAGUGUUCGGCAAACGGGGAGUUGUUGUCGGGACGAAAAGCUCUUGAAAAAAAGAGCUUGCGGUUUGAUGGUCGCAUCCCGCUG